ensembl:lncRNA
GGACAAUUUCGUCUGGUCCCGGAGGUAUUUCGUCCGUCAAUGGGACCUUCGAGGAUUCCUGGUCACUAAAUUCCCGAUUCGAACCUGCGCGGGAAGAUCCCAAUGGAUUUCUAGUCCAUCGCCUUCGUCCACCACUCGGCCAAAGCACGGGCAUAAAGGGCAGCUUGAAGGGGCGAAAAGGGGGAUAGAGGGAAGAAGAGAAAAGAAAAAGAGGAGAAAAUGAUUGACAACAGGAUUUGCACCUGGAGUCUCCCACCCCAAGGAUGGACGUGUUACUAUUACACCACAAGAGUUGUUAUUUUUGUAGUUGUUUUUAUUUUUGCAAAUAGUUGCAUAAGCAACUAUUCUGUUUGUUUUUUUUUGCAAAUAGUUGCAACGGCAACUAAUUAUUAUUAUUUUUUGCAACAGCAAAUAUACUUAUUUUUCAACAGUGAACGUUAACAUAUUUUCUGAUAAGAAAUAAAAAAAAUUACAAUA